rnacentral:rRNA from 1 species
AUGCUGCAGCACCUUGAUCUCAAGGAUGAUGAAUUGGAUGAUGUGAUCGUGGGAGAGGAAGAUACAAAGAAGUAUGAGGCAGAUGCACGAUGGCUGGCGAUCGGGAAGGUAAACACAACCCGACAGUUUAGUUCAUCUUCGAUGUUUGAGACCAUGAAGUCCAUCUGGGGACUUGCGCGAGUGCCAACAUACAGAGAAGCUGGGGAGAACCUGUACAUCUUUCAGAUGUUUUGCCUUGGAGAUUGGAAGAAAGUGGUUCAUGGAGGACCCUGGCUGUUCAGAGGGAUGGGGAUGCUCAUUGAAGAUUAUGAUGGCAAGCAAGAACCAUCUUUCUUUGUCUUUGAUGGCCUGUAUGUCUGGGCACAGAUCCAUAAUAUACCUGAACUCUACCGCAAGAUUGAGGUGGUUGACCAACUUGCUCGUCGGAUCGGUCGGGUCAAGGAGACUCAGCUAUCGCCAAGGCUCUUCUACGAGGGCGAU